rnacentral:lncRNA from 1 species
UGUAUGGCCCUGCAUAUCGUGGACCCAACUUCUGAUUUGGACGCCGAACUAACGAUCGUUGCCGGUAGGGAUGAAGGCACACCCACACCCAGUCGCCGACGUCAAAGGAGCGAUCGGUGCGAUGUCGAUUGGCUUGGUCGCACAUGCGUUGGCGUGUGCGACGCAAGUAUUCCCGAAGGUCAUGGAGGAUAAUGGUGUGCUCCGUCAACGUCUCUUGAAUGGUGGUUCCGACAUUGGGUGUGUUAACAAAGUCUAUGAUGGUGGGUGGCUGCCGACCGUAUAACGCAUGGAAUGGGGAUGUUCCGAUCGCUGAAUGGUAUGUGGUAUUGUGCCACAGUUCUGCCAAGUGCAGAUAUUGAUACCACCUGUUAGGUUGGUUACCCACGAAGCAUCUCAGGUACGCUUCUAAGCCGCGGUUUAACACCUCUGUUUGGCCAUCAGUUUGGGGGUGGUAAGAUGAACUGAAAUUUAACCUUGUUCCCUGUGCCUUGAACAGAUGUUGCCAAAAGGAACUCACGAAUAAGGGGUCUCUAUCUGACACAAUGGAUUUGGGCAGUCCAUGAAGGCGACAUAUCUCCACAGAAAAACGCUUGGCUAGCUGUUGGGCCGUGAAGUGCGUCGGAAGGGCUAUGAAGUGAGCAUAUUUUGUGAGUCUAUCGCAAAUAACCCAAAUGACCGAGUGCCCUGCCGAACUUGGAAGGUGAGUUAUAAAGUCCAUUGAUAUUUCUUCCCAUACCUGUUUUGGAAUCGGUAGUGGUUGUAAUAACCCCUGAGUUUUGGUUGGCAUGUAUUUGUUUUGUUGACAUGUGGGGCAUUGUUGGACGAAACGGUGGACGUCUCUGGUCCAUUUCGGCCAAUAAAAAGAAGCAGCUAUACGCUUAAGCGUGGGUUUAAUGCCGGAAUGGCCGCCUGCAAGGGAAGCGUGAAAUUCGACCAUGAUGCGGUGGCGAAAGUCAUGCACUGCUGGCACAAAAAUCUGAUGGCGGAAGAAUAGUAAUCCUUGGCUAGUGGAGAAGAGGCUCGGUUGUGUUUGACUGCGGGUGCAUGCAUGAAUAACUUCCUGACCUUCUGUGGAUGCAAGAUAUUGUUGUAGGUCGCGAACAAGCUGAGGAAUGGGCGAUGAUAGGGCGAACAAUAUGGUUGAUUGAUUCUCACUUUGUCUUGAAAGGGCGUCAGCCACUGCAUUCUCCUUCCCAGGUCUGUAAACAAUCUGAAAAUCAUACCCUUGUAAUUUUGCUGUCCAUUUCUGUUGCUCUGGGGUUUGUAUGAUUUGGGAAAGUAAUGUGUUUAGGCUCUUUUGAUCUGUAAUGAUUUUGAAAUGCUGACCAAUGAGAUACUGACGCCAUUUUUUUAUGGAUUCUGUAAUGGCGUACAUCUCACAUACAUACACUGAGGAAGCUUGGAGUUUGACACUCAUCUUUUUACUGAAGAAAGCCAGCGGACGCCCUGAUUGACUAAGAACAGCACCAACGGCCACGGCGGAAGCGUCUGUCUCUACCACAAAAGGAAGCUUGAAGUCUGGCAGGUGUAGGGUAGGCACUUUUGCUAUGUGUAAUUUUAGAUUUUCAAAUGCUUGCUGCGCGGGCUGAGACCAUGUAAUUUUAUGGUGCUGUAAUAAGUCGGUGAGAGGAGCGGCGAGAGUGGCGUAUUGCUUGAUGAAUUUUCUGUAGAAUCCGGUGAGGCCGAGGAACCCCCGUAAUUCCGUGAGUGAGCGUGGCUGAGGCUAGUUCUGGAUGGCCUUGACUUUAUCUGGGUCUGGGUGUACUCCCUGAGCAGAAAUUAUAUGGCCUAAGUAACUGACUUCUGCGGUUGCGAAACUGCAUUUGGAGAGCUUGGCAAAGAAUUUUUGAUUUUGUAAUACUUCCAAUAUAGUUUUGAGAUGAACAGUAUGCUCCUGCAAGUUUGGACUAUAAAUCAAAAUAUCAUCAAAAAAAACUAGGACAAACCGGCGAAGAUAUGGUCUCAGUAGAUCAUUCAUUGCUGCCUGAAAAGUAGAAGGAGCGUUAGUUAAACCAAAUGGCAUCACUAAGAAUUCGUAGUGGCCAUCAAUAGUGCGGAAAGCUGUUUUGUGAGUGUCUUCAGGAACUAGAAGUAUUU